rnacentral:rRNA from 1 species
GAUGAACGCUGGCGGCGUGCUUAACACAUGCAAGUCGAACGGAAAGGCCCAAGCUUGCUUGGGUACUCGAGUGGCGAACGGGUGAGUAACACGUGGGUGAUCUGCCCUGCACUUCGGGAUAAGCCUGGGAAACUGGGUCUAAUACCGGAUAGGACGAUGGUUUGGAUGCCAUUGUGGAAAGUUUUUUCGGUGUGGGAUGAGCUCGCGGCCUAUCAGCUUGUUGGUGGGGUAAUGGCCUACCAAGGCGUCGACGGGUAGCCGGCCUGAGAGGGUGUACGGCCACAUUGGGAGAGAGAUACGGCCCAGACUCGUACGGGAGGCAGCAGUGGGGAAUAUUGCACAAUGGGCGCAAGCCUGAUGCAGCGACGCCGCGUGGGGGAUGACGGCCUUCGGGUUGUAAACUCCUGUCGCUAGGGACGAAGCGUUUUUGUGACGGUACCUGGAGAAGAAGCACCGGCUAACUACGUG